CAUUCUGCCUCUGAAAUUUUAGGAGAAAUUGCUUUAUUAAAUCACAAUAAAGGUGAUAUUGUUCAACAUCCAGCGACGUCAAGUCAAAGAACAAACUGAAAGAUUGUAUCGAUUUGAAUGAUGCAGAAGACUCCUGAACCUUUUUAUUCAAAAGAACUGUCGUCUUAACUCGUUCUUAUUGACUUGAAAAGUAAGCCUUCGGUUGCUUUAGGUCCUGAAGUGAUAAUUAUGCAAGAAGCUCCCGGAAAAACGCUUGGCUGAGUCAGAGUUUACUGUCGUUUCUAGUUCAACUAUAUCAUUAUUUGAAGCAGUUAACCAGUUAUUACGCGUUAGAUAGUUUGAAAAUCUGACAUUUAUUCAUAAUUUUUUUGGAGCAUUGUAAAUUUAUGCAGAAAUUAUAACCCAACCUUUUGCUUAAUGGUAAAUAAACAAGAAAUUUCAAA